GGGAGAUGUUGUUUCCGAAUAAAAGAAAACUGAGUAAAUGGGAGUUUUAAGAAACCUGACCAAUGGAGAGUGAAAUAAAAUGUUUCUUCUACUUUUCAGAUUGUUGCUUUCAAGGGGCUGGAGAGAGAAGUUGCAGGGAGAACAGAAACCUCAGAGAGAGCUGGAGCUCCUGCGUCCUGCUCCAGCCUGGGUGACAGAGCACAACCCGAUCUCUCAAAAUAAAUACAUAAUUCUCAAAUUUUUCCAGAGUGUUGCCACAAAGGACUGGAGAGAGGAG
rnacentral:lncRNA from 1 species